GGCAUCGUGGCCGAGUGGCUAGGCAGGGCUCUGCAAAAGCCUUUACAGCGGUUCGAAUCCGCUCGAUGCCU
rnacentral:tRNA from 1 species